GGGCAGCAGCCGGAGACCGCGCAUUGCGCGCAGUGACCGUGCGUCCGCGGCGCCCCUCGGCCGGCCUCCCGCCUCCGCCCGGGGGAAGACGCGCGAGGAGCGUGGGCGCCUGAACGCGGCAUCGCGGACGUCGCCAGACCAACUUAACUCACCCCCAGUCAGAAAAAACGAGAACCUGUCUCCAGGCUGGGACCUGCCGCCCACCCAGAGUUUCCACUGGCACCUCAGAAGCUCUGGGAUGCGGUGGGGGAAAUAGAGACCUGGUGGAUGAGGCCUUUCUCAGGCCAAGCCUCCCCACCCCCAGAAUACAGUCGGGAUAGCACACUGAAUUUCCUGGCGAAGUCACUCCUAAGACUUGGCUGUGACAGUUUCUCAGACAUUCCUUGUUUCUGAGGACUUUGAGAGUUUUGAGGAGCGCUGGUCCAGUAUUCUGCAGAAUGUACUUCCGUUGGGAUGUGUCUAAUAUUUUUCUCACAAUGAGAAUCAGACGAAUGCAUUUUGGGGAGGAAGGCCAGAAGUGCCAUUCAAGGGCACAACAUGUCAAGGGUAUAUACUGUCAAUGUGACUUAUCACUGUUGACGUUGACCUUGAUCAUCUGGUGAAAUUAUAUUUACUUUGAUUAGAUUAUAUGUGCACGUGGUACAAAAGUUUAAAGUACGAGUUAAAAAGUCUCCCCCAGGCUCUUGCCUCCUCCUCCUUCAAAACAUGGGUCCCCUCACCAAGGGCGGCCACGUCGGGGCCCUGGAAUACAGCGCUUUCCACGGUUGAAGGGGGGUUGCAGACACGGCUAAGUUAAGGGUCUUGAGACAGGGAGAUCCCUCUGGACUAUCAGGAUGGGCCCAGUGUGAUCGCCAGGGUCUUUAUGGGAGGUCAGGCGCGAGCAUCAGCGCGAGGGA